rnacentral:sRNA from 1 species
UGCAGGAAGGAUCAUUAUCGUAAAAAAAAUGUGUGAGGCAUGCAAGGGCUGUCGCUGACUUUUGACACAAAAGUCGUGCACGCCAGAGUGUGUCCUCUCACAUAAAAUCCAUCUCACCCUUUUGUGCACCACCGCGUGGGCACCCUUCGGGAUCAAACCGAUCCAGGAGGGGGCUUGCGUUCUCACACAAACCCCCCUUUUAAAAGCGUAGAAUGACCCCAUUUUUGCGAUAACACGCAAUCAAUACAACUUUCAACAACGGAUCUCUUGGCUCUCGCAUCGAUGAAGAACGCAGCGAAAUGCGAUACGUAAUGUGAAUUGCAGAAUUCAGUGAAUCAUCGAAUCUUUGAACGCACCUUGCGCCCCUUGGUAUUCCGAGGGGCACACCCGUUUGAGUGUCGUGAAAAUCUCAACCUCCUCGGUUUCUUCUGGACACCGAAGGAGGCUUGGACUUUGGAGGCCUUUGCUGGCGUCUCUCGCCAGCUCCUCUCAAAUGAAUUAGCGGGGUCCUCUUUGCCGAUCCUCGACGUGUGAUAAGAUGUUUCCAUGUCUUGGCUUCUGGCUCUGUCGCUUUUGGGACCCGCUUCUAACCGUCUCAACCCGAGACAAUGUUUGAGCGUGUCUCCCUUCUCGGGAAACACCCUCGAGCCCACGAACCCUUGACCUCAAAUCGGGUGAGACUACCCGCUGAACUUAAGCAUAUCAAUAAGCGGAGGAA